rnacentral:lncRNA from 1 species
CAGUUGUGUACAUUUUACCCUAACAUAAAUGCGGAUGGGUGUGGUCUCACUGUGAAGAGUUCCAGCACCUCGAGAGCCCGGCUCAGGGGCUUUUCCUUCGGUAAGGUACUUGCGGAAAGAAACCUUUCCAGAAAUCAUGACAAAAUCAUCAGGCCUUGCCUAUCCUCUCAGAAACGGUUUUAAUAUGAACUCCUCGCCGUACCACCUUGACAUGGAUGAAGAGGGUGGCAGGAGAAAGAGUGGAGCCGUCAGCUUUCAGCAGGUGGACGUGACGAUAACCUGAAAAAUAUCACAAUAACAAACAUGGAAGAAAAAUGUAGUUAAGUAAUAUGUGCCUUACAAAAAUUAACCAUGGAUUUUUUUUUUUUUUUUUUAAAUAGAAGUAAUCAUGGUUUUUGAGUUAACUAUGGUUUAACUACAUAAUCCAUGUAGUGUUUUUAAGGGGUACCAAAUAAAUCACAAUUUAAAACUUG